rnacentral:lncRNA from 1 species
GUCGAUACAGCUCUGUGUAGAUCGAUACAGCCUGUGUAGGUGGACACAGCUCUGUGUAGGUCGAUAUAGCUCUGUGUAGGUCGACACAGCUCUGUGUAGGUGGACACAGCUCUGUGUAGGUCGAUAUAGCUCUGUGUAGGUCGAUACAGCUCUGUGUAGGUGGACAUAGCUCUGUGUAGGUCGAUAUAGCUCUGUGUAGGUGGACAUAGCUCUGUGUAGGUCGAUAUAGCUCUGUGUAGGUCGAUACAGCUCUGUGUAGGUCGAUAUAGCUCUGUGUAGGUCGAUACAGCUCUGUGUAGGUCGAUACAGCUCUGUGUAGGUCGAUACAGCUCUGUGUAGGUCGAUAUAGCUCUGUGUAGGU